ensembl:lncRNA
UAUUUUUACUAGAUCUAGUUUAUUAUUUUAUCAAUGUUGUUUCUUUGAUCAGUGUUGCACAAGGAACUCUAAAACGAUACAAACCAUUAACAUGGUCAAUCAAUGUCUUUUUACACAUAUACAUACACACAUACGCAACAUUCAGUAUAUGUCAAUAUGUAUACAUCUUUAAGAAUAGCACAGUUUAAAAACGACAGUAGCGAUCCCUGAUGAUGCUUUGAGAACUUUUAAAAUAUUUCUUCACCGGAAUUCGAGUGUGACAGAUACAGUAAAGGCAGACAGAGGCACUGACAGACAGACAGAUGUAUAGACGGACAGAAAGUCAGAUAGACAGAGAAAGAGAUGGACAGAGACAGAAAGUCAGAUGGAAAGACAGAGAGAUUCGACAGACAGACAGAAAGUUGAAAGGACAGAUAGAGAGAUGGACAGUGAGACUGUCUUUCUCCAUGGCUCUCUGUCUUCCUCACUCUCUCCCUCUCCCUCUGGGUGGCUAGUUUAGCCUGGUGAGGAGGAGUCGUCAUGUUGGCUCAGAGUGAGCUAGCUUAGUGAGUUAGCUUACAGUGCUGGCUGGGCACAGCAUUGAAUACAGCAUUUGGUUUCAGGCUAGCACCGUAUUCUAACCCUGCAGUAAUGAACACAAACUGCAGAGCAUAAAGGUAAUUGUUAAAGUUCUUGUUAUAGUGGUUACAAAAAGUCAGACUUUUUCUCCUCUAUCAUGAAUCCACUAAAUCAAAUAUAUAUGUAGGCUUACUAAAGAAAACGUCUGGAUGUUUUCGAGAUGUCUCUCCUGGUUUGGAAGUGUUUGUAUAUCUCUUACCCUGCUGGGACCUAUGGCUUGUGGUAGACCAUGACAUACCUCGUCAUGUGACUGUAUAUCAUAUCAAUAACCGCAUCCAAACACAUUGAAACCAGCACCCAAACACAGUUCGCCUUCCCAGGAAAUGCCAAUAAACAUGCGUCACAUAGAAGAUAAGCGGCAUAACCGGGGGGCAAGGGCAAUGCAGCCAUUCUCUCCUUGCCGUGGCUGUUUAUUCACCCUGAUGCAUCCAGCCUGGGGCACUCCUCACACACACCUGAGUACCCACUCAUCGAGGCUACGAAGAGCCGGCUCGCCGCAGACCAGAGGUGCUUCAAUCACGGCGUUUUGGAAACUGCCAGGAGUCAAAACGACGCCGGCUGUGAUAGGCCGGAAGAAUGGCUCAAGUCUCUUUUUGCUUUGUUGUGUGUGUUUGUGUUGUUGUUUUUACUUAGAGCACAGCAAACGCCCUGCUGUAAGGUGAGUCCACCCUUUCUCCCUCAGAUGCAGCAUGAAGAACAAGUGACACUCACCCACAGCGUCAGAAAGAGAGAGUACGACCGGUAAAAGAAAAGCGACAACAAGAAAGAAGGCAGAAACCCCGUUGUUCCUGAAGUCUUGAGGUCACAGUGCUGACAUCACCCCCCUUACCCCCGCCCACCCCUAGCCCCAAUACAUCGUCACGGUGACAAGGAUGGGAUGUGUGUGUGUAUGUUGGGUUUGGGUUUGGGUCACGACAACCUGCCUUCAUCAACACGCCGCCUCUUUCAAUGGGAGUGACUGAGUGUUUAGGACGUUAACAUCACCAUAUAGGGGGCCGGGCCGGGCUUAAAUAUCACAGUGUUCACCACAAGUCCAAUAAUGAAAGAACUACCACACUUCAUCUCAGCUAAAUGUACACGUUAGCCGCCUGCUAUUUUCCACUUUUCUAAGGUCUUUUCUGCCUCUACUGGCCUUUACAUACAUUGGAUUUAGUCUGCCUUAUGCACAGAGGAAUAGAAAUAGAAUACUGAUUGCAGACAAUAAAUCACAUUUACAUUUCAUCACCAUUUGACAACAGUAUAAAUGACUAGAAAAAUCUUUAAAUUCAGCAUUAUUUGACACGUACAGUCGUUUCGGAGCAGGACAUCAGAAAGAUAAAUGCAUAUGAAAUGUAGUCGAUUCACAAUCAUAUGGCAUGGUCAUUUGGUGGCACAGUGAUGGAUUCCUCAUAAUGGAGCAGAGGUCUCCGACUGGAAGCCACGCCCAGGGAGAGCAGGGCUCGCCGUCAGAGGAUGGCCUGACUCCAGCGCUUUACAUCUGGGGCCAGCAUGGAGGAAAGGAGCUUGUCUAAGUCACCCAGAGCCUGUCUACCCUCCACUCUCCAGAGGUUAACGUGGUCAACACGAAAAAGCAGGAAGCUCUUGGCUGAACCGCAUAACAGCCUCAGAUAGUUGAAGUCGCAAUGUGUAACAUUGCAACUAGUUCCAAGCUUAAAAUGACCGUGACAUAUCUGUAGUCAAAGCUGAAUUAUAGUGAUUUUAAAUCAAAGAAAUCCCAUCAUAUAACAUAUUUUACCAAGGAAAAAUGCUGGCCAGCCCGACCUCUCUGUUUACAAGAAUUGACACUCCCACAGACGCCACCUAGUCGAGCUAUGCUAGUUUGCAUCACACUGUUGCACAUCCAGUUAGAGAGGACAGAACACUAUCGAUUUUUUUGUAAUUCUGAAUAUCCCCCGCAUUGGAGGAGCUUAAUCGUACACAUUACGACUUUAAACGUCAGGCAAAGACCAUCACACUUAAUGAAAACCACCAACUCUGGGCUCUCCCCCUUCUGUAUAUUUCAUAUGGACCUGAGUAUUAGUUAUAGCUAGUUUGAGAGAAUCGGUACGAUGAAGGAAAAAUGGCGUUAACGUUAGCAACCUAGCUCCCUGACUGCUCUAUCUAGAAGUGUUCACAGUUCGCCAGGGUUCAACACAGAGAAAGGAAAUCUGCAACAGCUGCUAGAGCCAACCUUUUGUCCACGAGAAAGUAAUCAAGUGAGUGUAAAUGUGCACUUCCCCUGCGCCCUCACUGAACCAGCUUGAGGUGGAUGCUAAUAAAACCUGCAAGGCCGCAACACAGAACCUAUGGAAGAGCCAACCGAGCAUGGCUGAUGAGAGAUGAAAGGUGCCGAGUUUCUUCUUUCCCAUCAGUACAAAGUACAUCUGUGCUUGUGCGCACGUAUGUAUAUAUAUAUAUAUAUAUAUAUAUAUAUAUAUAUAUAUAUAUAUGUAUUAAUUCUACACAGUUCCACACGGGAGGUGUAGGAUGUUUGACCCUGGAGUCUCUUAUGCUGGACGUUUCGUAACAUAAUACUUUGAACAUCACACCAAGAAUGAGUACAAUUAUGUACAAAAGAUGAAUGGAGAGAGAAAAAGGAGAGGAAAAUGUUGAGCGACACGGGUGACACAACAUAAAAAUGACUACAAAGACAUGACGAUAUGUCGCUGACGGUUGUUUUUCGGUUGGGUGAGGAUGUGCCGUGGCUCUGGCCUUGGGCGUGGGCCUGGUGGGUCCCGCGGUGUACAUCACGGACACACAACACUCUCCCAAUACCCGCUGCGAUUGGAUUUGCAUAUCAAGCAGCACUACCCCUAGCAUGCCAUGCUUAAGUAGUACAGUGGUAGUAUUAGAGGUAAGACUGAGAUCAACAGGAAGAGCAUUGAGGGAAGGGAGAGAGGGGAGCAGUUGGAACGGGAGAGAUAAUCAAAUCCCUUUGGGUCAACGGAUACUGUACCGUGGUGCGAGAUGUGUAGGUUUACAAUAAAAUAUAUAUCAAUAGCAAUCGACAAACACACAAGAACAUAAUAAUAAAAAUAGAAAUACAUAAAAUAAGCUCACCAUGAAAUUGUUUAUACAAUUACAUUCCAGAAAGAAAAAACUGUUGAAUAAACUGUUAAUCCAAGUGAAAUAGUUAAUACACAACGUCAAGGUCCUCAAAUGUUACCCUUCCUCUGUGUGAGUCUGUUUGUUUAUGUGUAUGUGUCUGUGUGGUUUCCUUCAAGCAGGAAGUGACCUGAGCUGGGACCCAAUCAGAGGCUGAGGUAGGUAACCAGGCAACCAGCGUGUAUCUGAGGAACACCUGAGUGACAAUCGCGGACAGGAAAUAGAAUGCCCCAGGGACAGGAGGAUAGAGAGUAACCUUCUAGUGUGUUCCUAACCUCUUUUACUCUUGUCUAACCCCUCUCUCUAUAGUCCUUCUCUGCUUAGCUGGCAUCUAGCUCUAUCAUUAUUGUAUUCCUUAAGCAAGCAAGUCAAGUCAAGUCAAGAGUUUAACACCUGGAGUGAAGACAAACAGGCCAGAGUGGUCCUUCAAUGCACUAGAGGGCUGCACCUUAACAGAGGUAAUCAAAACUAUGCAGAAACGUAUCGUUUAUCAUUGAGAAUAAUCAAGGCUUAAACCAUAAAAAUAACACAAAGUAAUUUACACUCGCACAUUUAUAUUGGGUAAUUUCGUUAUGAGCUCUGGUACCCUAACACCAUGUAUUGUUGUGCUUAAUGUUAUAGACAUACAUCACAUAUUUAUACCAACUUUAGCAAAUCGAACACACACACAUAAACACCCUCACAUAUAUGUGCACACACACACACACACACACACACACACACACACACACACACACACACACACACACACACACACACACACACACACACACACACACACACACACACACACACAUAAUCUGUUUACCCUAGCAGUUUUCUGAGAUCCGGAUAAAGGAUGUGAGUUUGUUUUGAAUGCUAUCCAUCAUAAGUAGCAUAUAUCGCUUUGCAGUAGAUAUUCCUGAAAAGUAUUCUUAGCGGUGCAAUGAUUCAAUAACAGUCUUUUUAUUCCAAUGCAGCAACUGAGACUGAAUUUGAUCUUCGAGUAAUAAAACAAAAUCCCAAAAGACUAUGCUGGAACACUAUAAAACAUAUAACAAUUAAAGAAAUCGAUCUUGUUAGCCUUUCAGCUCUCGGGAGCUACUGACAAUGGUUGUAAAAGAGGGCCGAGGCUCAGAGAAUGGGACAUCUCAUUAUGCAACACACAGACACUCAGACACAACAACGACAACAACGACAGCGCAAACAACAUCUUCUUGAGGUAGAACUUUGAACUUCAGCGUUUGGAAGUGCUUUAUGUUGGAUUUCCGUUUCUUUUUCUUUUGUUCCGCUUUGAGGAGCAGGAGCAGGAGCAGGAGCAGGGGGGGGGGGCUGGUUGGGAGGAUGAAGGGGGGGGGGUGACAGUUGGGGGACAUCUGAGGUAGCACGGCACCUGAUCAUGGGGCUUCCUGUCGAGUCCGUCCUUCCGCAUGUAAAGUCAUUGAACACAAGGGGAAGACACACGCCUAAAGCUUCCCACACAACACAUUCAUCACGGCUGAGGUAGGUUUUUGUUCAGUCCUAAAAAGUUCACGUAGCCAAGGCUAUCGCGUGUACGAAGGCUGAAAAAAUAAAAAUAAAAAAACUGAAAAUAUAAACUGCUGAUAUGAAAAAAACUAAGUCCUGAGACAGAAUCUAUGAACUCCCUGGAGGAGCGCCAAAGUCUUCUGGCGCCGAGGCUGAGGAAUCAUGGGUAGGAGGAGUGUGGACAGCAGCAGUCUAUCACAUCCGCUAGAAGUAGUGCUAACACCAAUAAAUACGCAUCAUGUAGCACUUAUAUAUAUUUAGAGAUUUCAAUAUUCGGACAGCGUGCCCGCUGGCAAUUAAAACGGAAAAAAAUGAAUCAAGGAAAAUCCGAAAAAAAAUUCAGAAGUACCGAAUUAACCGAGCCGACCGUUCAGCGGCCUUGCAAAGCUAACUGCGAGCACCUUUUUCUCCGAUAGCUUUCCAAUACCGGGCCACAUGCACGGCAGGGCUCGGUCUCGGACCUUAUAUAAUUUGUAACUUAUUGAUUUAAAAAAAUAAAGGAAAAAAAGGUGUAACCUGAGUGAGCGAAAGAGUCCACGCCACUGUGGAGAGUGGUGUGAGAAAUCGGCCUUCAUACAUCGUUAGCCUUGGUCCUGACGCGGAACGCCCUCUGCAGGCGGCUGCUGGAACUGCGCCUCGGCGUCUCUCUCCCAAGCUGAACUCGUCGAGGGGUAUUGUAGAGAGCUGCAUGGUGUUUUCU